rnacentral:lncRNA from 1 species
UGCACCAUAAAAAGAUCCAUCAGCCUAAUACAUUAAGGAAAAAUUAAAAUGGUCCUCAUUUGCUCUUUUUGUUUCAUUUCUCAUGACGGAGUUAGACCAAGCCAUUAAAUUUGAAAAAGACAAACUGAAAUACUGCUACGACUUGUGAUUCAAUAAUGUGAUGACAUUUUUUUUACUAGAAGAUGUCGUUAAGAUAAAAUGGUAGGUUCAAAAGUUAAAUGAAUAGUAGUAUUAUAACAUAUUUGUUUCAUUUUAUGUGGUACUAAUAUCCUUUUUAAAAUAUUUUAUUUUUAAAUUUUAUGUACACUCAAACAAGUUCAUAUAAAAAAUAAGGGAAAACUAUAUAUCGUUUACAGCACAUAUAAAAUAAAGUGUCAUAUACAAUGAAAAAAAAAAGAAUAGUUAAAAAGAGAAGGGACCCUGAAUUGGAGAAGCUCCCAAGAGAGUGUCAACCCCCCUGUACUUGCAAGAUUUGCAGUAAACAACUCCUCUUACACCAACAAACUUCCUGGUUGGAAGAGGAGAUGGUGGUUUAACUGGUGGAUGAGCAGGCGGAGUUGGUGGUUUACUAGGAGAAUGAGCAGGUGGAGUUAGCGGUUUAACAGGCGGAGACGGUGGUUUGACUGGUGGUGAUGAGGGUGUUGGUGAAGAGUGAGAAGGAGAAGAAGCUGGG